AAUAGCUGGACACGACAGCAACUGAAAAACAACAGAGGCAGAUUUGAGGGUUGGGCUGGAGGGGUGGCUUAGGUGGUCUGCCCACCCCCUUGGCGGUGCUGUGUGCAGGGAUCAGGCACAGUACCUUGGUUUUGCUCAAAGGUGGCCAUUGAUUUGUAGCAUUUUUGUAUCUUACUGUUCUUAAUUUCCCCCCAAGUGUGCAGUUAUUCUCAUCUCUUAUAGGUACUUUGUAAUCUGAUGCUGGAGGAGACUCUCCAGAUGCAAGUAUGGAAGUUCCCAGGUUCAGGUCCCAGCCUCUCUCAUUGUCACUCUUGUAGCUACAAAAUGUUGAAUGAACCUCCUGCAGUGACCCUUCUUCCACGGAGUUCUGAGUUGCCUAGCUACUACACCCUUUACCUUUCCCCACUGAUAUUAGUUUUCCACCUCCUGCUCAUUUUCGAAGCCAUCUUCUCUCAUCAUUUUGGGGACAUCUAUGAAUAUGUAAAUCACCCAUCUGUCACCUUGGCUUCCUGGUUAUUUGACCUUCCAAUAUUAAUUAAUUCCAGUUAUCCCCUUCUCCCCUUCUUUUCAGCAUAAUAACAUGGACUUUGCCAUUAGUCACAGCUGUUCCACCUUUGAAAAUCGUGUGUCCCAGUAUUCAGCCUGCUCAGCAUAAUCUCCUGUCUUUCCAGCUCUCACCUCCCAUAUCUCCAGUCUCCACCUAGCCUUUGAUCGAGUCUCUGAACUGCUCUGAUUUCUCUUGUAUCUCACUCACCCUGUGAAGGGCUUCACUUCCUUCCAUAUAUUCAGCCUAGUCCACUUAGCACAUUAUGUCAAUCAUGUCCUCAUCAUCCCUCUCUGCCCUUUCCCCUUAUUUGGAUGCACUUGCCAUGCAAACACCCAACAACUAAUCAAGCCAACCAUCUGACAACUCUGCUCUCACCUUCUGUGAUAUAUACAUUCACAGCAUCUGAUUUGGCUUUGGAGUCACAAAGGCAAUCAAUACCAUCCUAAUUAUUUACCAAGAGUAUGUUGCAUACUCUUGCCUGGAAAAUCCCAUGGAUGGAGGAGCCUGAAUAUAUCCUGUCUAGAUGACUCAUUAGAGAAGAACCUGAUGCUGGGAAAGAUUGAAGGCUGGAGGAGAAGAGGACAACAGAGGAUGAGAUGGCUGGAUGGCAUCACGGACUCAGCGGACAAAGGUUUGAGCAAGCUCUGGGAGAUGGUGAAAGACAGGGAAUCCUGGUGUGCUGUAGUCCAUGGAGCUGCAAAGCGUCGGACACGACUGAGUGACUGAACAACAUCAACAACCUGAAGAUCACUCACUUAAGUGAUUAAGUUUACUUGCUUCCUUGAGACCUAGGUGAUAGUGUUGUAGACUCAAGAGGCACCAGCCUCUCAUGUUGGAACAAAACAGCAAAAAAAAGCAGGUACAAUUAAGGAAUUGAAAGUGGCCUACAUGUUUCAGAAACUAAUUCAGUGGCUUCUACUUUGGUUUCUCCCAAGAGAAUAGGAAAGGAUGACUCCCCUACUUUGGGCUCCAUCCAUUUCUCAACAAGCUGCCCUACCAUCUCCACCUCCUCCUACUCUUACAUUUACAGUCACUCUGUUCUGCACCUUCUGAAGAGCAAAUGUGCCAGUGAUCACUCCUCACAGUAAUCCUAGGUGAGAACCUAGGAAACGAUCAAAGACAAGCUAUUGAAAAAAAGCAUUUGGCCCUUGUGCCUUGAGUGUAAAAGCAACUAGUCAAUAAAAGAAGGCACAGGUGGAAAGAAUCUGGAUUCUGGGACUCAUCCUGCACAUAUGUGACUCUGGAACACUUAUUUUAUUAAUAGCUCCCUGAACUUUAGUAGUCUCUCCUUUUCAGCAUGGGAAGAGAAUAAUUUGCUUGUAGGACUUAGGUCAGACUUUUUCCUUGAAAUACCUUUAAGAGAUAUGAUAAGGUGUAAAUAACAGAAUAUCAUUCAUAUUUAAUGACAUCAACAGCUCUAGUAACAUUUCCACCUGCCAAAAAAAAAAAAAAAGAAGUCUUUUUUUUCCCUUAUAUCCUAAGUACCACCUCACAUAGGUUGAUCUAUCUAUGAAUUUUCUAAAAACUGAAUGGAAUUCAAAUUUGCCAGCUCACUCUCAGCAUAUCCAUUAAAUUCUCCCUGCUUUCACCUUAUUUUGAAAUAUUUUCCAAGACAAAGAUAGAUGGUGGUAACUACUUUGGAGGUUCAGUAAUUGGUAAGAAAAAAUAUCAGAGGACAUCAAACAAACUAUGCAACCUUCAAAUGAAGUGUUCUUAAUAGUUAAGAA